AUAUAGAAUGUUUAUUAAAAAAAAGGUUGGAAAAGAUACAUUCUUUUGUGAUAUACUUUUUUUCUAAGUUCUAAAAUUUUAAAUGGGACAAAAACAGUAACCCACGAAAUACAACUUAUUUGUAAUAUCCCGAUACAGUAACCCAUUUCAACUCCCACAGUUGGAGGAGAACCCUAAAGUCCAAAAACUAAGGACACAAGCACAAGCCAUAUAUAUGCUUAGCCUAUUCCUUUCACCGUGAAACUCCACCUAUGUAGUAAGUCAUUGAACCUCUUCCCUCUCCUCUCUUCUCUGCCCAACAUCCAAUACCAUACCAAAGAUUUCACGGAUAACACUAUCUUCUCUGGUGUGAAGAUCUUUUCCUCAAAAAUCGUCCCAUUUCUGGCUUUCCAUACCGGCCAUACCACAACAUAUGGAGUCAGCUUCC
rnacentral:lncRNA from 1 species